rnacentral:rRNA from 1 species
CCUACGGGAGACAGCAGUGGGGAAUAUUGCACAAUGGGGGAAACCCUGAUGCAGCGACGCCGCGUGAAGGAAGAAGUAUUUCGGUAUGUAAACUUCUAUCAGCAGGGAAGAAAAUGACGUUACCUGACUAAGAAGCCCCGGCUAACUACGUGCCAGCAGCCGCGGUAAUACGUAGGGGGCAAGCGUUAUCCGGAUUUACUGGGUGUAACGGGAGCGUAGGCGGUGAUGCAAGUCAGAAGUGAAAGCCCGCAGCUCAACUGCGGGACUGCUUUUGAAACUGUACGGCUGGAGUGCAGGAGAGGUAAGUGGAAUUCCUAGUGGAGCGGUGAAAUGCGUAGAUAUUAGGAGGAACACCAGUGGCGAAGGCAGCUUACUGGAAUGUAACUGACGUUGAGGCUCGAAAGCGUGGGGAGCAAACAGGAUUAGAUACCCGAGUAGUC